GACGAACGCUGGCGGCGUGCUUAACACAUGCAAGUCGAACGGUAAGGCCCUUCGGGGUACACGAGUGGCGAACGGGUGAGUAACACGUGGGUGAUCUGCCCUGCACUUCGGGAUAAGCCUGGGAAACUGGGUCUAAUACCGGAUAGGACCAUGGACUUCACGGUUUGUGGUGGAAAGCUUUUGCGGUGUGGGAUGGGCCCGCGGCCUAUCAGCUUGUUGGUGGGGUAAUGGCCUACCAAGGCGACGACGGGUAGCCGGCCUGAGAGGGUGUCCGGCCACACUGGGACUGAGAUACGGCCCAGACUCCUACGGGAGGCAGCAGUGGGGAAUAUUGCACAAUGGGCGCAAGCCUGAUGCAGCGACGCCGCGUGAGGGAUGACGGCCUUCGGGUUGUAACCUCUUUCAAUAGGGACGAAGCGCAAGU
rnacentral:rRNA from 1 species